rnacentral:rRNA from 1 species
AGGGUUCGAUUCCGGAGAGGGAGCCUGAGAAACGGCUACCACAUCUAAGGAAGGCAGCAGGCGCGCAAAUUACCCAAUGAAAACAGUUUCGAGGUAGUGACGAGAAAUAACAAUACAGGGCAUUUUAUGCUCUGUAAUUGGAAUGAUGGGAAUGUAAAACCCUUCCAGAGUAACAAUUGGAGGGCAAGUCUGGUGCCAGCAGCCGCGGUAAUUCCAGCUCCAAUAGUGUAUAUUARAGUUGUUGCAGUUAAAAAGCUCGUAGUUGGAUUUCUGUCGUGGUCAUCCGGCUCCGCCYGUAUGGGUGUGCGCCUGGUUUGCCCUCGGCUUUCUUCCGGUAGCCUUYSACGCUUAACUGCGU